rnacentral:rRNA from 1 species
UGCCUGAUGGAGGGGGAUAACUACUGGAAACGGUAGCUAAUACCCCAUAACGUCGCAAGACCAAAGAGGGGGACCUUCGGGCCACUUGCCAUCAGAUGUGCCCAGAUGGGGUUAGCUAGUAGGUGGGGUAACGGCUCACCUAGGCGACGAUCCCUAGCUGGUCUGAGAGGAUGACCAGCCACACUGGAACUGAGACACGGAACCAGACUCCUCCGGGAGGCAGCAGUGGGGAAUAUUGCACAAUGGGCGCAAGCCUGAUGCAGCCAUGCCGCGUGUAUGAAGAAGGCCUUCGGGUUGUAAAGUACUUUCAGCGGGGAGGAAGGUGUUGUGGUUAAAAACCGCAGCAAAUGACGUUACCCGCAGAAGAAGCACCGGCUAACUCCGUGCC